GAAGGGACCCUAACUGACUGGCAAGUUGCCUUCUCUGGCUGGAAGAACUACCUUCUCCCUGGACUACUGCAGAUGGUGAGAUACGGGAACGCCUGACGAAAGCCGGCAAAAGGUGUAGCGUAAACAUCCUGGGCCCUACCGCCCCAAGCCGCUCAACAGAUGGGUGGGGCCGCGCAAGGAGCCGCCUCGUGCGCGGGGAGGGAGCGGAGUCGCGUGCUGCAGCUGCUGGGGUCUGUGCGGGUCCCCCCCGAAGUUCCAGCGGCCCCGAGAGAGGAAGAAGCUGACUGCGGCCUCUGGAGCAGUGCACUCCUGGGGGUAAACAGGGAUGUUUGACUGCCAGGAAAAGGGAAUAGAACAGUUUCUCUCGGUAAACUUUCCACAAACAGGCCCUGAUGCCCAAAGACUGAACCACAGCUCAUUAUGGCUUUGUCUAAUGCCAGACUAUCCACUGCUUCUAUUCAACCAGAGGCUCCUUUCAACUUCAAAUCGAGCCUGGAGCUUUGAUCUGCCCGCGGGAUGCAAGACUCUGUCCUUGUUCGAAGCAAGUCUCUUGGAUUGUGAGAGCCUUUACUGCAAACUCAGCCAAUAAACCAUGCUACCUGGCUUGGGUUCUAUCUAUGAUUUCCCCACAUGCACUAAAAUUGUGAGA